GAUUUCACUGACCCGAACCAACCCUUCGUUCUCACUCCUCGGUCCCUGAUACGCCGCCAUCGCUCGCCGCCGUGUCGUCCAACGCCGGCCGCAUCCGCCGCCUCCACGCACUGAGCGAGCUUCGUCUUAUGCCCCUCCACCGGAUCCCUACCCACGCCCGGCCUUUCGGCCCCUGAGCGUGGCGCCGCGGCUAACCCUAAGCGUGGGGUUAGGCACGGUCGCCGCAGCCGUACCGCGCGGCCGCUCCUCCUGCUUCUCCCUGGACGACGCCCUCCUCCCCAUCCCGCGCGGGCGGGGCCCCGCGCUGCACCCCGCCGUGGUCGCCCUCGAGGACUGCAUCAUCGCCAGGGACCACGACAUCCAGGGCCUCCUCGUCGACAACCAACGUUUUCCCAUCAAGCAUCGCCGACCAGACCGCGUGCAUGAAGGUCGAGGUGAACACCGUCGCCGGCGAGCGUGGAGGUCGAGCAGAUCCUCGCCGACGUGCGGGUGCUGGCUGGCGUGCGCAUCACAUCGUCGGCGAGCCUCGCUGGUGGAGGCACACGGCGUUGUCCACAUGGAUCUGCGAAUCAGCCCACGAGCGCCGUCCGUUUCCAUCGACGAUGAAGGGCAUGCAUCAUCUGACGGAGGAGUGGAUGGGUUGGACAAGUUCUCGGAGCACUGCAAGUCAGCCUGUAUUUCCUUCCCAUUUUCAGUUUACUUGUGGCCUUUCCUGUAUUUCUAAGCCUAUGCUCUUCAUGUAAAGUGCUGCUUGUUGCUACAUCUCUGUCUGCCUUCGUAGUACCUUGUUACUCAUUGAUAAAUUAAGGUUUGAGGAAUUAUGCAUAUCCUCAACAUGCCAUCUAUCUCAUGGAACUCAUUUGUGUCUGAGUGUUGUUUCAGAAUCUAGGAGCGUGCUUACCACAAGACAGAAGUCAGAAGCACAUGCAUUUCCAAUUGAACUUGUCCCACCAAACAAUGUAAUUUAUUCAGUAAUAACUUGCCUUCAAUACUACAGGUGAUCCUUAGCAAGCUAUCCAUCUUGCCAUCAUCUGCUCGGGUCCUCUUAGCCCUCUUUGUACUGCUAUUUAGCUGAGACCUGGUAGUUAGCUGAACUCUGUUACUAUAAGAACGCUUGCUGUUGUACCAAAGCUUCCUCGUUUUUUGUUCUCAGAUGUUGCUGCUUUCAUAUUUGUCUGUGUAUCUUCAAUUUGCCUCGAAGAAGUUUCUGAUGUUACAUCCGUAAGUCAAGAGGAUUUAACAGGCACGUAAUCCUUGAAUUGUUUGCCCAGUACAGGUUGUUUGUUUGUCGUCUGAACCACUCAACCAAGAUGCUAUUAUUUGCUCCAACUCGUGUACUGAAGGGUAUAUAAGCAUCAGAGUAAGCUUAUUUUGAUGAAUAUAUGUGCAACACAGAGGUGCUUGUUUGCUCCCUUUCUUUUUAACAUAAUUUCAUAAUAUCAUAAGUUUAGUGCAAGGAUGUUGUCAAAUGUUUUUACAGAUUGUAAAAUUGUUGGAGCUGAGCGUUCUUUUAGCUAUAUAUCUCUCUCCACGCUUUCAAUCAGAUUCAGUAAGUUCAACAACAUCUGGUGAGAUUGUUACAGAUCAUCGUUGAUGGAAAUUGUGAUAUUGCUGUGAGACAGGUCGCAAGCAUUCACUUCAAGAACUUUGUUUCGAAAGCCUGUCACCUAUUGAUCCUGCUGACAAGUCCACGGAUCGUGAGAAUAUACUGGGCUUUGUUACUCAGUUAACGCUACUGUUAAGAUUGUUGUCACACGAAUUAUUGAGCUCUGUUGUUUUAGUUUUAGGUAUGGACUGUUUGGCAUCCAGUAGUUAUUAGUAGAUAAUAGAUAACUUAGAGAUCAUAUGUUCUUAAUGCACAGUAGUACUUCAGUUGAUCAUCUGAGCAAGUAUGAAGAGGAAGAAAAAAAAUCAAGGAAGCAAAUGCUGACAGUAAGAAGAGGAAGAGGAAGACCAAAUCAGAUAAGCAGGUACAGGAUAGCCAAGUAGAGGAUAGUCAAUAUUUGUCGAAGAUCAAUGUAACUUAGAUGCAUGACAUUGUGUUUUGCAACGUUGGUUGCAGAACAUGUUAAGGUUAAACAUUACAGUGUAUUGAUGGAUCAUGUUGGAUCAUGUUUGUUGAAUAAUAUUAUAUUGUCCUGAUUGUUA